ACAUGGUAUCCCAGCAACCAAAUGUACAACACAGGAGACAGAUGAAUUUCUCAUUCUCAUAGGCUACCAUUUCUUUUGGCUUAUUACAAAACAACAGGAUGCUGCAGCUUUAUCAAAGUCUACUUAUUUGUCCACUAAAAGUUUAUGGCUAUACGUUUCCAACUAGAACAUCUGAACACCGAUAUAUGGAAUUCUGACAAAGUUAAAACCAGGAAGAGAUCCUAUGAAGGCUGACAUUGAUUUGUACAUCCAUUUUAUAGAACAAGAAAAAUAAUAAGAACAAGAAUAAGAACAGCAACAACAUUUGCAGCCACUGUCUAGACCACAGGAAACCUGGUCAACAACAUAUGGGAUGUCACCAGAUUCAGACUCAGAAGUUUCCAUAAUGCCGUGGCCAACAGCUAGACACAAAAGAGUACUCUAUCUGUGUUCUUGAGUGGAGAUGAUGAAGAUCAGAACUAUACCUGAGUUGUGAUGAACGUGGAAAGUGAUUUGGAGAGUUGCACUUUUCUUGAAACCUGAGCCUGAGAAUUUGCUUAUGGAUUGUCUGUAAUGCCAGGAAAUGGAAUAGAGGACUGGGAAGAGUGAGAGAAGGAAGAGAAGCCAGGAGGAGAGUAUGUUACGAGCUGUGAAUAAUUGGGACUUGAUUCCACUGAGCACCUUUGAAGUAUCUGAGAAUCUGACUGCAGAAUUGUGAACCUGAAAAUCACAGAAAAGAGAAUAUUUAUCUAUUGAACCUUCUCUUCAUCUUGCAUUGGUCAAGAGUUGUCCUACGGGAUAUUAAGACACUUGCACUUUCAAGUUUGCAGAAGUAUGGGAACGAAAGCAUCCAAAAAGCCCUGAGGCAGGAAGCAAGCUGAGACAAGGUGUUGGUGAUGAUGGUACACCUGGAUGAAGCUAACUUUAGCAGCAAUAGUUGCUGAAUGAAUUUUUCAUUUAAUCUAAGUUGCCACAUUCAUCAGCAUAAAAUUGUUAAUGAUAUUCUUUUAGAACUUGGAGGGUGGUAGGAGAGAGAUGAGCAGAAAAAAAUAACUAUUGGAUAUGAGCCUUAAUACCUGGGUUUUGACAUAAUCUGUACAACAAAGCUCCAUGAAACAAGUUUACCUAUAUAACAACCUUCACAUGCACCCCCAAAUCUAAAAUAAAAGUUGAAGCAA